CCUUCAAGGCAUAGUCAUUUCCAAAAGAAAACUGAUCAUGUAGUGGAAUAAUAUCUGCAACAGAAUGCACUUUUGCCCUGCAUCCAAUCCAAAAAGUAAAUAAGUAUAAUAUGAUAAUCAAGAAGAAAAAGAAAAAGUUCUCAUAAUGAAAAAUUCAAGUACAAUUAAAUGAAAUCAUGACCAAAGAGUUUUGUCUACCAGGGAAAAAAAUAUCAACCAACAAUUCACAGUUUCCAUUAAAUGAACCUUGAUUUUUUUUCUUUUAUUUUUAGAAGAUCAGGAAAAUUGUGGCUUUGCUGAAGAUUAAAUCAAACUGUUAUCUAAACCAGAAACACUCAAAAGUUAUUUUCCCAAAAUUUAUAAAAUUAAAAACUACAAAUAUUUGGCAUUUGAAAAGGAAAACCAAAUCAUAGUUCAUAAAGUAGCCCUCUAUCUUUUUCAUUAUUUAAUUUGACUUUUUUUUUAUAAUCUUCAAAACAGAGCCAGACAUGUCAUACCCAAAUGAAAAGACUUUUGGCUAGAAAUCCAGAACAAACCACAAAACAUACUAAACCACAACAAUUUCAUGUCCCUCAAAAAAAACUCAACACGGCAUCAAACAUUCUACAUCAAAGAAAAAGCAAAGAAGAAACUCAUAUUUACAUACUUGUAUCGCCAUGUGUUGAAUAUCUUCUCCUUCCUACACGGUUGGCUCACAGAACACCAAAACAAUAAAACUUAUCUUUAUCGAAAACUUUCUUAACACCAUGUAACACAAAAGCAAACAAAUCACCAAAGUCCACACUUCUCCCUCGACAACUCUGGAACCAACAAUUGGACUUCUCUCGGCACCAAACAAAAACAUUGUUUCGUCUCUUUGUUUUAUCCGACACUACAGUUUCAGCUCAGAAUCGAAGAAACCCUUCUAAGAUCCCGUGAUCAUACACUGCAGAAACUCGAUCAUUCAAACUGAAUCCACCUCGUGAGUUAGCAACAACAGUGACUCAGAUGUAAUUAACUAAGAAAUGGUCCACAGUUCUAAAAUCAACAAAACCCUCCAUGGAAAAAGCUAUAAUAGAAGGUUUCUUAAUUAGGUGGGCGAAGAAAACUGACAGAGAACGCGUUGAUGUCGAUGAACGGAUGAUCACAUCCGUUU
rnacentral:lncRNA from 1 species